rnacentral:piRNA from 1 species
CUCUCAAUGUGAAAUGAUCUCUAAAUGCCAA